CACGUAGGGCGCAAGCGUUGUCCGGAAUUAUUGGGCGUAAAGAGCUCGUAGGCGGUCUGUUGCGUCCGCUGUGAAAACUCGGGGCUUAACCCCGAGCCUGCAGUGGAUACGGGCAGACUAGAGGUAGGUAGGGGAGAAUGGAAUUCCCGGUGUAGCGGUGAAAUGCGUAGAUAUCAAGAGGAACACCUGAGGUGAAGACGGGUUGCUGGGCCGACACUGACGCUGAGUGCGCGAAAGCCAGGGGAGCAAACGGG
rnacentral:rRNA from 1 species